GAUUUCCGGUUGAUCCUGCCGGACCCGACUGCUAUCGGAUUGGGACUAAGCCAUGCGAGUCAACUCCGCAAGGGGUGGCGCACGGCUCAGUAACACGUAGUCAACCUACCCUGGGGACGGGGAUAACCUCGGGAAACUGAGGCUAAACCCCGAUGGGCCAUGGCUCCUGGAAUGGGCUAUGGCUGAAAUCUACAUGGCCCUAGGAUGGGACUGCGGCCGAUCAGGUAGUUGGUGGGGUAAUGGCCCACCAAGCCUAUAACCGGUGCGGGCUCUGAGAGGAGGAGCCCGGAGAUGGGCACUGAGACAAGGGCCCAGGUCCUAUGGGGCGCAGCAGGCGCGAAACCUCCGCAAUGGGCGAAAGCCCGACGGGGUCAGUCCGAGUGGUUCCCGCUGAGGGAACCUUUUGCCAGCUGUAAACAGGCUGGCGAAUAAGGGGUGGGCAAGUUUGGUGUCAGCCGCCGCGGUAAUACCAGCACCCCGAGUGGUCGGGACGAUUAUUGGGCCUAAAGCAUCCGUAGCCGGCCCAGUAAGUCCUCCGUUAAAUCCAACGGCUCAACCGUUGGGCUGCGGGGGAUACUGCUGGGCUAGGGGACGGGAGAGGCGAGGGGUAUUCCCGGGGUAGGGGUAAAAUCCACUGAUCCCGGGAGG
rnacentral:rRNA from 1 species